rnacentral:lncRNA from 1 species
CUUUAAUGUGUCUUGCUUUUUUUGAAGCCAUGAGAACACCGUCUGUCCAUUAGAAAACCAAAGUAAUAAGAUUUUAUGGUUUGGCUACUAAGUCAACAUGGUUAGCUAAACUUUGGCUUAUGGAGUUCUGCUAUUUUUAUGGUACAGUUAAAUAUAAGAGACUUAGCCUGAGGAUGGGCUAAUAAACUAGAAAUAUUUUCCCUCCAGUUCACCCCCAUCAGUCUUAAUAGUUUAUUGCUUUUCUCUGCUCAGUUUUGGUCCAUGUGAAAGUAGUGAAAACCUGUUCAGUCCUUGCACUGUUGUAAGACUGAUUCCUGUGAAGAAACAGGCUGCUAAAAAGAGAACUGGUGAGCUCAAAGAAAGAUACCCACUUCUACCAUGUUCUAGGAAGACCUCUAUGUCAACAGUACAAAUAUAAGCAUGAUGCCAGAUGUUCUGAAAAUUUCCUUGGGUCCCUCUUUCUGAGAGUUCGGGAGUGAAAGGAGCUGAUUUGGUUUAAAGGUUCUCUGAAGAUUAAUAUUAUCCCUCAUUUGCAGAACCAUUAAAAACUUGUAAUCAAGCAAAUGAGAACGUAAAUCUGUACAUUUUGGACAGAUUUUCUACAAUCAUUCCCAAACAUAAUUUUUUAAGUGAUAGGAUCACAUUUCAUCUGAAUAUCAAGAAGUUGAAAUCUACAGCUGAAUGCAUCUCUUGUCAGAUAGUCCAUAUCUGAGAAAGGAGAUGAGAAGUAGCUUCUUGUGGAUUGCAGAUUGCAGAGUACUAACCCCAUAAGCAGAUUGCAGAGUACUUACUGAAAGAUUCAAGUUAAUGUUGACAGAAAUGAGAAAACCCAAGACAACCUACAUGAAUGAAACGUGAACUGAAAUAAAUAUUAACAGUGAUAUCAUCAAUAGGAAUCAAGCUUCUCCAGGAAGGAUACUCCAACAAACUAGAUUUCAUAUCACUUCUGACACUUGAUGUACUGCCUCCAAAAGGCAGUAUUCAUGGAAAUACAAGCUAUCUUUCUUACCAUGGGAAUGUUCCCUAAGUAUCUGCAUCAAUAUCUGUAAACUUUUGAGACCUGGAGAAAUAAAUACAGCAGUGUUGUAUUCUGACUUCUGCUUCAGUGAAGAUCUAACUGAAUUUCUUGAGGAGAUGAUUUUUAUGGACUACCAAAGGAGGCAGGCAUCCUGAAAUUACCUUAAGUCUUACAGAACAAUUGGGUGAUGCAAGUACAUUUAAGCAGUAUGUACUGUUGUAUGUAUUGAUGUAAUUCCAGGGCAGUCAAUUGAAUAAUUUAUCCUAGGGAAAAGUAAGACAGCAAUUUUUUCCACCUCCUCAUCCUGGAUACUCCUGUCAUAGUCACUAAACUGAGACUUGUGGUUACAGUGACAGAGGGGGAAAAAGUGCUGUACUUUCAAGGAUCAAAUUUCUGUUGAUGUCACUGAAACAAGGACAGUUUCAUUCACUGGAAGACUAUAAGAUUUUUCCUCUAUGUUAUAGGUAAAUAUGAGGUGCUCCAAAAGUAAUGCCUCCUAUUUUGUUAUGUUGUCCUGUGACAUCAAAAUGGGUGUUGGUGGCAUGGCAGUAGGGGUUGAACCUUCCCACCAAUAUUUCAUUAUUUUUUGUUGUCGUGAGACAGAUGGCAGCUGAAAAUUUGCUCUAUCAAAUAGUGUUAUUGUGCUUUUUUUGUGUGUGUAUAGUUACCAUGGUAAUAAAUAGAAAGCAUUACUUUUGGAGCAUCCUACGUAGAUUCUUCUGUUUUGGUUCUGGAUAUCCUUAUUUUUUGCUAGCAUGAUAUCUGCUCUGUGUUAGAAUCAAAGAACCACAGAAUCACCACAGUUGGAAAAGACCUCCAAGAACAUUCAGUCCAACCAUCCACCUACCAACCAUAGCUGCCCACUAAACCAUGUCCCUUAGUACAGCAUCUAAACAUGCGAUGGUAGUCCCAUAUAGAAGGGACUACCUCUCUUUUAUCUCAUAGGCACUAUGUCAACAUAACCUUCAGGAAAAUAACAAUAACUUUCUUAUCCCAAAUUCUAAUUACAAAAUGUAAUGACUGUAGGUGGAUAACGAUGGCUAAACAGGGACCAAUAUACAACACCGAGGAAACAGUAUUUUGAAAUGAGAAAUUAGUCUUCUGCUAUGAGGAAAAUAAAUCAGUCAUUCUAUAUUCAAUAUGGGAACUUCUGAGAACUUGAUCUUUGCUUUUCUAUAGCAAAGAAGAAAAAUGCACUGAAAUUUCAGUCUGCUUUUAUUUUCUAUGUUUUUGAGCAAAAAAAAAAAAAAAAAUUGGAACGUGAACCACUGAGUCUCAUACCACUGUCUUGGUAUGUUGUGGUUAUGGCAUGUGGGUUAUUUUUUUCUGAAAAUGAUAUAAAAUACUUGAUGUUCCUCUGUAUUUUAUUCUGAAUAAUCUUUUCUGAAUGGAACUUUGUCCUAAUACAAGUGCCACUAAAAUAAAGGUUAACCUCACUGACUGUAUCUAACUUCAGUGGAAAAGUUUUUAUAAAUUACCUUAUUGUUUCACAGGCCUUGGAGAGUGCUGUUGUGGAUGGCAAUGAGUGUGACUCAUCUGGCUAUAGAGCUGGAAAUGGAAAUGUAAUAUUAAAGAAAAUAAAUAACAAGACUGAAAAGAGAAUUAAAUGAGGAAAUGAGGCAUGAAUGCGUGAGACAGAGGUUAGUCUACUGCAUUUCUACCCUGGUUGUUUGUUUGUUUUGCCUUACCUGAUGUUCCAGGCAGCAUUAUACAGCAACUUUGCCCCACAUUCUUCCCUCCCUUCCUUUCUCGGGACUGUUUGCCCUUACUGUGUUCUGCCUGCUUCGCUGGAGGACUGUGUCUGUAUCGUGGCUGCAUUCAUUCAAGCUGGAAAUCAGAAGAAGGUAAAUACUGAAGAGACACUGCAGGAAACUGUCUUUCCAAGGAGCUGAACUUUCUGCUCACUCAUUGCUCAUGGAGAGCUCUGCUGACUCCUAUCACAACCCCCACUGGCAGCUGUUCCCCAGAGGUAACCAAACAGGCGCAGCUCGGGAAAUUCCUAUAAUUGAAUUAUUUUUCAGGUGCUGAAAACAUUCAUUUUAUUGCCAAAGUUCUUACGGAAAAGAAGAGAAAGUAAUAUAGAGAAAAAGAGCUUGAAGAAGAGGGACUGAAUUUUACUCUCAGAGUUAAUGCUAACAUGUAAUCAAAAAUGUUCAUAGUAGUCAAUCACAUUGCAACCUUUCCCACGUCUUAAAAAUGUACUUGAUUAUUUACCAGAGGAACAUAGUAAUUUUCAUGAUGUACUACUGUUUUAUGAUGUUACAUUAGCAAAUCAAACAGUAGGCCAGGGGAUGCAGGUGUCUUUCAAUUGUUGACAUUCUUUCACAAUUAGUACCACAACAAACAAUGAUAUGCAGAGUUAAAAAACACUCAUGAUUUCCUGCAGGUGAUAUUUAUUUAUCAAGAUACUAAUUUAGGUAUGAUUUUGGUGGCAUGAAUACCUCAGCUGCCUGACACAACAUGACUGUAUUAAUAAAGGAUUUGAAACAUAAGUUAUGUUUUCACAGUAUCAAAUCUGUACAGAAUCAGGAAAAAUAAAAAGUAAUUACACUCAAGAAACUCCAAAUAGUAGUGUGAUAUUCCAGUAAUCUCUUUCUCUCUGAGAAUCGCAUGUCAUAAAUAUGUCCUCAGUCAUCAGAGAAAAAUCAUUUUUUCUCUUCUCCCCUCUACUGCUGCUCAUAAAACAGAGGAGCUGUGCCUCUGUAAUUAGCUUGGAAAGUAGCUCCUCCUCUUCCUCCCAACACAUACUUUGGCUUGAGAACAAUAGCGUCAUAUUUUUAGCAAAAUUAAGCAAAAGGCGCUUGCCUCUCAGUGGCAUAAGUGAGAAUUUAGAUGAUCAAGCCUAAAAACACUGGUUAGCGACAUUAACUCCUGGAAGCAUUUAUAAUCACAGGGCUUGAAGUUCAUGAGAUCCCCACUGUGGUGUGGUUUGCAGCAAAUCUGAAAGGAAAUAAACAUAUUCCUCUGUUUGUUCCUGUCUUUGUAAAGGCAUUUUGUAGACUUGUUGGAGAAAAUACAAAAACUAGAAUAAAUAUCUAAGAUGCUCACUGUCCUGAUCAAUAGCUAUUAUACUAUUUUUAAAUAAAUGGAUAGACUGCACUCUCAAUCUCUGGCAAAUGGAAGUUGUAUACACUUACCUUUAAAUUUAACUACACUUGAAUAUGUAGUUUUUUGGACAAAGUGAAAAAGUCAGGAAUCUAAUAAGGAAAUUAUUUUAAAAAGAGGUUUUUGAUUUCAAUUAAAAUAUUGUUUAUGUUCCAAAAUUUGAUACUGAAAAUCUGUCACAAACAAAUCUGACAGUUCUAGAUUUCUGCUAUAGAUUAAUAUAUAUACGUUUAGAAAAUUUCUGAAACAGAACAUGGUCUUUGUCCCUUCAACUUGCCUAAUGAAAGCAAAGUUUUCCUUUGGUUCCUAAAAAUUGAAAUCAGUGCUGUUGAAUUUCAAACAUACUAGUACUGUAUGUAAACAUUGUUUCAAUACACACUCAAACCUGUUUGUACAUAAAUAAGAGAACAAUAUUUUUUUUCUCAAGUAAGAUUAUUUUAAUGGAUCAAAGAGCUUUGUUAAUAUAAUUCUGAUUAUUUCAGAAUUUAUUUCAAAUGGUUUCUUUUUAACACACUUGGAAAUACAUCAGAAAUGCUCACUUUAAUUAAUAAAACUAUUUAAAACUAGUAUGAAAAAGUAAACAGUCUUCUGCCUCUGUUUUAUAAAUGGCAAUUAAAGUAAUGUAGAAUAGAAAUUCAGUAUCUAGAUUACAAUAUACAAAAAAGUUAUUUUAAUUGAUGGUAUUACUUGCAAACGGUGUAAUUAGGACUUGAUCUGUGUUUCCAUUAAAUGAAGCUUACAUGUGGUAUAUUCAUAACAUUUCAUUUAAAAAAUAAUAAUAAAAAUCUGGAGUUGCA